UACGUAGGCAGCAAGCGUUUGUUCGGAGUUACUGGGCGUAAAGGGUGCGUAGGUGGCUCUAUAAGUAUGGUGUGAAAUCUCCCGGCUUAACUGGGAGGGUGCGCCGUAGACUGUGGGGCUAGAGUGUGGGAGAGGAAAGUGGAAUUCCUGGUGUAGCGGUGAAAUGCGUAAAUAUCAGGAGGAACACCGGUGGUGUAAACGCUUUCUGGACCAUAACUGACACUGAGGCACGAAAGCGUGGGUAGCAAACAGG
rnacentral:rRNA from 1 species